UUUUUUUUUUUUUUUUUUAGAAUUAGAUGACAAGCUCUACUUCUGUUAUUAGUUGUUUGAUUUGGGGAAACUCAUUCAGCCUCUCUGGGCCUAGUUUUCCCAUGAAUUUUAAAUUAACGGGCUUUUCUUCAGGCUUCCUACUAGCUUUGUUACUGAAUCAAACUUGGGUCCGCUUGCCUGCUGCAAGUAAGGCCAAUUUACUGACAUCAGAAUGCGAUAAAGGAAAGUACAGCGUUUACUACAGGGCUCAGAAAGGAGUAUGGGUGGCUAUGCUCAAAAGACCUGAACUCCUCUGUGGUUUUCAAGGGAGUGUUUUUAAAAGCAACACUUGAGGAGUUCCUACUGUGGCACAGAAGAAAUUAAUCUAAGUAGUAUUUAUGAGGAUGUGGGUUUGAUCUCUGGCCUUGCUCAUGGGUUAAGGAUCCGGCGUUGCCGUGAGCUGUGCUAUAGGUAGCAGAUGCCGCUUAGAUCCCACGUUCCUGUGGCUCUGGCGUUGGCCAACACCUUCAGCUUCGAUUCAGCCCCUAGCCUGGGAACCUCCAUAUGCCUUAGGUGUGGCCCUAAAAGAAAGGAAAAAUACCAAAAAAAAAAAAAAAACCCACAAAUUUUUUAAACACAUUUUGUGCUUGAAAUUUGUCUCUUUGAACAUCUAUUACCCCAAAAAUUUUAGAAAUUGCACUUUUGAAAUUUCUUGAGGUGAAAAUUUUGGAGUUACCUAAAACAAAGUCAUUGACCUUAUUUUAUAGUCUUGCAAAACUGAGCCAUAAAAGUAUCUGAAUUACGCCUUCAAAUGUUAGAAGAAAAUCUUAUUAAAGAUGUUUGAGAGGAUGUAAAAUACUUGAGAGUAGAGUCCAUAUUUACUUUUUCUUUGUAUUUUUAUAGCAAGAUUUCCCAAAGUUUCUAAGAAUCCCCUGCAGUGAGUACUAAAUUGUGAUGCACUUAUUUCUAGCCUCACUAAAUAAAAAUUUCCAAGAGAUUUUUCUCACAAAAAUGAUUCUAAUGGUUAGGAACAUUUAAGUAAAUUAUUCUACAUUUCACAUAAUGUUCAGUAUAGAGAAGUUGGUCAACUGUUGACCCAACAAACGAGAGAAGAAUGAAUGACCAAAAUCUAUCAUGUAAGUGGUAAAUUACCACUUAUGCAACUACAAAUAGAAUGCGUUAAUUUCAGAAUCUAAAAUUUAGAUUUUUUUGUGCCACCAUCUCAUAUCUGUAUCCAGGUUAAAGGUCAUAAAAGAGCCCUUUCCCGCCAUCUGCCUUUAGGUUCCACAAGGCCAAGAUCUGUUAGACACUAUUAUAUCCUCAGGGCCUAAAAUAGCAAUUAAUGCCUCUAUAUAUGACAUGUAAGUAUUGGAUGAUUUUAAUUUAAUUGCAGUGCAGUGCUUAUAUGACAAUCGGGCUAGUUUAAUGGUAAAUAAUGAUUUUGCCAGUCACCUGAAAUGCCUCUACCCAAGGUUUUCUUCAACUCAGUCUAACUGGGUUUAAUUUCCAGGUCCCCAGAUUUAACUGUACAUUUCUUUUGAAGAAAAACUCUGAUCCUAGAUCAUUGAAAUUUUUUGACCAAAUACAUCUCUAAGCAAUUAUCAAUCAUCUGGACAUGCCUCUUGGGAGUUUAUGUGCUGCAGUGUCCUUUAGGGGGUUAUGAAAAUGUGUCUGUCAUAGUAUCCUAAGCUUUCUGUUCCCAUGGAGAGAUUUUAUUUCAUUCUCCUUGUUUAAAACUGUAUUCUGGUCAUCUGCUUUCCAAGCAAAUUUUUCCCCUUUCUUCCUUCUUCUUGCCUUCUCCUUUUUUUUCUUCCCUCUUUUUUCUUUCUUUCCUAGUCUCUCCUUCUCUCCCUCUACUCUUUCUCCUCAUCCCCCUGCAAGUUUUUCCCCUUCUCUUUUUUUCUUCUUCCAGUUUCCCCCUUCUUCCUCUUCCAAAGCCAUGGGGUACAUAAUAGAUAAAAGGAAACCAUUCUGUUUCGAAUUAUCCAUUUGCCUAACCUGUGGGCAUGAAGAUCAAAGGCACUAGAAAGAUUUGCUGGACUCUGUAGGGAGGCUGUGCCCACUUACUGGGUCUUUUCCUACAAAUUUUCUUUGAAAGUCCCUUGCAGAAAGGGAAAUUUUUGGAGUUGGAGGGAUAAGAGUAAGCAGUGGAAAUUUAACCACAAUGUGCUGGAGCACUGGGUACAAAUUGAGUCAGGGACACUAUUGACAAAGGGAGAGAGGCAGAACAAAGAAGGGGAAAACUGCCAAUGCCUGAGAGAAAGGGAAAUUUAAGAGCAUAGUAGGGUGCUUGAGGAGAGAGUAGAAAGUAUAGUGUUCUUAAGGAACUUUGAUUUAAAAAAAAACAAAAAACAAAACCAAGGUUUAGCAAAAUAGAAUCUGUAGGUAAAACACUGAAUGCAACAGAAGCAACAUUAAUGUAGAUUUUAAAACUAACACCAUUGAUUUGGAUCUGAUUGAAGUAAAGAGCUAGGAAAUAUGUACACAAUAGAAACUUUAAAAAGAGUCUAAAAAGAGGUAUUUAGUGGCCAAAUAUGUAAUCAAAGCUAGAUGUUUACUUCCCACUAAGUGUGUACAGAAUCAUUCUAGCAGAAAAAGUAAAGCAUGUCUUUUCAUGAGAAGGUAGGAAAAAAAAUUUUUUUCAGGAAAAGACUAUGGAUAAAUUCAUUGUAUUCCUAAGGAAGAGAGUGGUCUCAGCCCAUUUUAACUCUGUUCACCUACUAAAUUCACAACCUUGAGAAAACAGCCAAAUCUCAUUUUCUAUAAUAUAAAGGCUAUCUUACCUUAAUUUUGGAACUGUUGGAAGAAAUAAGUGAGCUGGAGUUCCCGUCGUGGCUCAGUGGUUAACAAAUCCGACUGGGAACCAUGGGGUUGCAGGUUUGAUCCCUCGCCUUGCUCAGUGGGUUAAGGAUCUGGCAUUGCCAUGAGCUGUGGUGUAGGCCAGCGGCUACAGCUCCGAUUAGAUCCCUAGCCUGGGAACCUCCAUAUGCCGUGGGAGUGGCCCAAAAAAUGGCAAAAAGACAAAAAAAAAAAAAAGUGAGUUGAUAUUUGCCUAUAGGUGAUAAUAUUUUUAUAUAUUAGUGAUGUAUUUUCCUUCUCAGAGAUAACUUAGCACAACAUCAAAACCAAAAAGGAUAAUUCUUGUUUUUUGGGCACCAGAGAUUUGAAGGACUAUGUGCUGAAUCUGAUUUUUCUGCACAGAGGCUAAAGUAUACCUUGGGGUAGGAGAAAAAUGGGCAAGUUAGAAAGUGAAGUACUAAUGUGGAUAAGAAAGUAAUUCCUGGAGUUUCCGUGGUGGCUAAGUGGUAGUGAACCCAACUAGUAUCCAUGAGGAUGUGGGUUCGAUCCCUGGCCUUGCUCAGAGGGUUGAGGACCUGGUGUUGCUGUGAGCUAUGGUAUGGCUCAGAUCCCACAUGGCUGUGGCUGUGGCGUAGGUGAGCAGCUGUAGCUGCAGUAUGACCCCUAGCCUGGGAACUUCCAUAUGCUGUGGAUGCAGCUCUAAGAAGAAUGAAUGAAUGAAUAAAUAAAUAAAUAAAUAGGUAAGUAAAUAAAUAAAUUCUGAUAAUUAUUUAGGAAGGAGCUCAUGCCUCCUUCCUCAAGACAGUCCCCCCAGAUAUAUUUAGUGAUCUCAGUUUAGAGGGGACAUCAACAUGGUGUGAGAAAGACAGGUGGUUGCAGAAGUGGUUGCAUGCUAUUUCUAGACAGAGGACUCUGAGGCUAGCAAACAUCCAGCCCUGCCUGGGGAGCAGCUGACUCUUUUUCAGUGUAAUCAGCAUUGAAGCUGGGUAUUGGUGGAACUGGAUCUGGAGAGCUGUUUCAGUCCAUGGGGAGGAUGAAAGAGCGGGCCUCAGAGAAUCAGGUAGGGUGGAGAAGGUUGGUUAGAAGGGGUGAAUAUGAUUACAGUAGAAUGAGACAAUGAACAGCUCAGGGGAGGUCAGCCUAGGUGGGAAAUGGCUGGGGACAAAGUGUACUCUCUCUUAAAAGCUGGAUAGUACAUGAAUAUCCCCAAUUCCCGUCCCCACCCCUGUAGCAGUGUAACUUUGAAAGAUAAGGGAGAGGAAGAAAAUUCUGAACGGCCUUAGUUCAUUCAGAAAUUGGGAUUCCCUCUUUGCUGCCAGUGGAGUGAGUUUUGAAAUAGAAAUUCAGUCAUGGAAAAAAUGAAGUUCCAUCUUUGAUUCACUAAAUGUGUAGUUAGUGAAACUUGAACUUUUUAUACUCAUCAAGGAUUAAGCCCCAUGACUGGCACAGAAUUAGAUCUGUAAAAAGACAGCUGGGGUUGCUAUCAAGAAGGAGAACUCAUAGAGAUAGAAUUUAAGUUUAAGAAAUAAAACUGAGGGAGUUCCUGUUGUGGUGCAGUGGAAAUGAAUCCGACUAGAAUCUGUGAGGGUGUGGGUUCGAUCCAUGGCCUUACUCAGUGGGUCGGGGGUUCUGGCAUUGCGAGGACGCUGAGGUGGCUUGGAUCCCACGUUGCUGUGGCUGUGGCAUAGCCCAGCAGCGAUUGAUCCCUAGCCUGGGAACUUCCAUAUGCUGCAGGUAUGGACCUAAAAAGCAAAAAAACAAAAACACAAACAAACAAAAAACACAAACAAACAAAAAAACUGAAAGCUUAUGCUUGGUACAGAGUAGGCUCUCAGUCAAUAUUGAACUUUAUAAGUGAAGAUGGGAGCAAGGUGGCUGAAUUUUAACCUUAUUGUGAUAGGAACAAGACUUCAUCUUUUGUUCCUCACAUAGCAGAGUGUUGGACUCUUUUUCUUUGUAUACAGUUGUUAAAACUAUAUAAAACAUAUAUAGUUAUAUGAUAUUUCUCCAGAAAACCUCAGAGAUUUUUUAGCCACACCAGACAAUAGAUUUGUGCAUGAAAAUUGCCUUUCCAGUCCUUUCAGAACGUGCAUAGUAUAAGUGCUAGUUACCAGGCAGUUAAAGAGGGUUUCCAGUUACCCUAGUAUGUCCUGUUACACUGGAUUAUUUUGCAGUAUUGAUAUUUAAAACUGACUUAUUUCUUUGGAGUUCUAAAAUUUUUGAAUAGGUAAUAAUUCCUGGUUCAGAAAUCACAAACCAUUAAAAAAAAAAAGAUGGUAAAAUGACUUUCUACCUCACAUCCUUCAUCCAUUAAAUUUCAAGCAAAUCUUCCUCCACCCCAAAACAGAGGUUAGUUUGUGGAUAUCUGAAUUUUUUUUUUUUUUUUUUUUUUGCUUUUUUGGGCCAAACCUGCAGCAUGUGUAAGUUCCCAGGCUAGGGGCUGCAUAGGAGCUGUAGCUGCCAGCCCACCACAGCCACAGCAAUGCGGGAUCUGAACCAUGUUCAUUACUGCUAAACCAUGUCAGUAACUCCCAGUUUCUGCAUAUUCUUUAUUCAUAUAUAACAAAUACAAACAUAAUGACUUGUGUGUCAUUUUUACACAAAAGAUAGCUUUCAAUACCCAUAUUCUGC
rnacentral:lncRNA from 1 species